GAUGAACGCUGGCGGCGUGCCUAAUACAUGCAAGUCGAACGCAUAGCGAAAGGUGCUUGCACCUUUCAAGUGAGUGGCGAACGGGUGAGGAACACGUGGACAACCUGCCUCAAGGCGGGGGAUAACAUUUGGAAACAGAUGCUAAUACCGAAUAAAACUUAGUGUCGCAUGACACAAAGUUAAAAGGCGCUUCGGCGUCACCUAGAGAUGGAUCCGCGGUGCAUUAGUUAGUUGGUGGGGUAAAGGCCUACCAAGACAAUGAUGCAUAGCCGAGUUGAGAGACUGAUCGGCCACAUUGGGACUGAGACACGGCCCAAACUCCUACGGGAGGCUGCAGUAGGGAAUCUUCCACAAUGGGCGAAAGCCUGAUGGAGCAACGCCGCGUGUGUGAUGAAGGCUUUCGGGUCGUAAAGCACUGUUGUAUGGGAAGAACAGCUAGAAUAGGAAAUGAUUUUAGUUUGACGGUACCAUACCAGAAAGGGACGGCUAAAUACGUG
rnacentral:rRNA from 1 species